CCUUUUUGGAUGUUGCUGUAGGCUUAUCCAAUGUGUUUUUCCCCCUCGUUGCACAUUUAAUAUGCUGUUCAAAUCUGGGGAAUACUGACCUUAAGUCAGCAUGGUUGAAGUCCCCCGCUAUAAUGUGCACUGCGUUUGGGUGGGAAUUCUGCUGAUUGCUUAUUGUCUUGUGCAGCUCCUCCAUGGCCGAGUUAGCGUUAGCAUCGGGUGGUACAUACACGGCCGUUACCAUGACAACAGUAAACUCGCGAGCUGUCAUUGGUGUAGAUGCAUAAACCCCCUCCUUUGUUCUUACCGGAGUGGCCGUUCCUGUCGUGACGGUGGACCGUGCAGCCUGCUAGCUCAAUAGCCGAGUCCGGAAUUGAUGGCUGCAGCCAAGUCUCUGUUGAAGCACCAGUCAGUGCUCUGAUUGCAGUUGUGUAUAGACCUCCAGACUACACUCUGAGGCCAUUCCUGAAAAACCUGGUAAGCCUAUUAGACUCAUUAGAGAUCAUGGACUGUCAUCCCAUCAUAGUGUGUGGUGAUUUUAAUGAGAAUGUUUUAUCCAG